GGAGUAGGUAGGGGCGAUAGUGUGUUUAAUGGUUGAAUUUGUGAGUUGGAAAUCGCAUGUUGGGCGAAUGAGAUCAAACAGAAGGGGGAAAUCAGCUACAAACGGUAACUGUGAAUGUCGGGAUGCUACAAGGGUGAGCUAUGGUUGGGAUUGUUCGGUUAACAAGUUGAAAUGAUACAAGUCUGGGGAAAUACAAAUCAGGUCGGGAUUGAAUUGUGUUGAGAGAAUGGGCAAUGCCUAUAAGCAGUUGCAGUGGUCAGAUGGGAAAUGGGAUAACUUCGCAGAAGUGAAACUGGGGCAGAGUGUUGGUGUUAUUGAAAACCAUUCGGAGAGAAUGGAACAGGUAUAACUUUAUUGUUGUUUGAUUUGAUAACAUGUUCAUGCAUUAUGGCUUCGUGUCAAAGUCAGUCCAGUCGACUGGAGUGUCAGUGGUGUUGUGAGGAAAUAGACAAUGUGUCUAUUAAAUCACGACAUGUCUUGCAUAUUGUCAUAUUCGCAUGCCAUCAAUGAUAUAUAUGUUGUGGACUAACCUUGUUUUGAAGGGACAUGUUACAACAGAACUGAGUUUGGAUUUCUGGAACAGAAUUCGAGAGUGGCACUGGGUUGACAAUGAGACGUGGAACAGUGUUGAAAUUUCGGUUGUGAUGGAAUGAUGGAAAGGGCGUUGGGGUUUAUGAGGAAAUGCAUAGAGGAAGUAGAUUAAGUGAAGCAUAGAUGAUUGUUACGGUCAGAUGUGAAAUUUUAAGUGAUAGUUGAGAUACGAUGGUAGUAAGUUUUGUGAUGAGUUGAAGGUUAGGAAGAUUAGGUGGGUUGUUGAUUCGUGUUAGUAUGUGUUGGGAUGGAUCGUAUACUAGUAUAUACAAAUUUCUUGAGGUGUUGUUUGUGUGUGAUGGAUGUACUUGUUUGGUGUACUUAAGUGAUAAAAUGGUUAAUGGACCAUGAUCAUAUAAUAUGCAUAUAAUAUUGUUUCAAGAUCAAUGUUUGUUGGUGUAUCAAGUAGUGUGAUUAUGCUAAUUGAUAGUAUGAGGUUAAAACUUAAUUUUCCUAGAAAGUUUAUACUCAUGUUUUGAGAGUGUGUGGUGGUAUAGGAGUCAUGAGAGUUUAUUAAGUUGGUGCUGAUGUUGAGAUUGCGUUAUAUUGAUUUUAACGAGAGUUUGAGAGUUUUGGUUGGAAUUUACCCUAUUAAAGGAUAAGCUUAUAAAUUUCCUACGGUGGAAUUGUGUGAAAUGAUGAAAGUGGUUUUGGCAUGUAGGUGUGUUGGGUACCGUGUUGUGUGUUAGUUGUUGUUGAGAGAAGUGAUUGAUAGGGCUGGUGCGAAGUAUGAAUUGUCCUUGCUAAGGAAGUUACUGGUGUUGGGAUAUGUGGAGCUUUGACAAGAGUUGGAGAUUUGUUUUUGGUGGUGUUAUUGAGUUUGAGGUUGGGUGUUGUGUGGUUGCUGAGUAAUUUUGAGUGUAUGCAUGUUUGAGAUUAUUUUCUUUGAGGUGAGAUUUCGGUAGAGGUUGGAUUUAUUCUUUUUGAAGUUUGGUUUUUGUUUACAUGUGGAUGAGUUGUGUAAGUUGGUGAAGGUGUUUGUUUUGGGGAUGGUGUUGGUAACUUUGUGAGGUUGGUUUUUGUUGACUUUGUGGCGGGUAUUAUUUCGGGGACGAAAUAUUCCAAGUGGGGGAGAGUUGUAACACCCGUCCCAGGAUAUUUAGGGUUUCGAUUUAAUUUUGAGGUUUAGGGUUUAAUUUGUAUUUGUUGGAUUCUAUGAGGGGCUUUGGUGUGAUUUACAUGGAGAAUUGUUAUUGGUUUGGAGCAUAAGUUGAGAGGAGAGGUGACCAUAUGGGAUUUCUUCCUAAGUGACUAAAUAGUCAUCAGGAGGAUAUUUCCUCAUUCUGCCGACAUAGAGAGAGAGAGAGAGGGGGAGAGAAAGGGAGGAGGAGGUCUCGGCUAAGGGGAGGGAGGAAGGAGAGGUCCGUUUUCGACGAUCCAACUCGGUGACAAGUAACGAGCCGGUCUUUUAGGAGGUGCCGAAACCGUAAGUUUGGCAUACUCCAGUCGAAUGAAAGGUAGCAGGUGGCUUAGAGUGGGUCCACUACUGGUCAACGCUUUGGAGAGUGCUAGACUAGCGUCGGGUGAUGUCUUUGGUUAGAUUGUUGCGUAGCUGAUUCGUCUAGAAGCUAACCUAAAUGUUAUGUAAUUAAUUGGAGAGAGGGAUAUUUAUUAUAACUUGAGAGUUGAGGUUUUGGGCGUUGACUUGGUUGUAUUUUAAGUGAGAAGUCUUCCGCUAA